GUAUAAAGGAACAUAAGGUUAUGCCUUGAUACUGCCAGAUACUUCGUGUGCUGGAAUGUGAAGAUAAUUGACCCCAGUAGGGUCACCUUGGCAGGGCUGAAAAUAAAACAUACUUUAAGUCAUUUUAGGUGCAGUAUAGUAAGAGAUUAGAGAAAUUUGUUCAACUUCUACAUAUAAAAGAACUCAACAAUAAAGGUAAUGGUCACUAGCUUCCUCCAUACUGCACCAUCUUCAUGUUGAAAAGGAAUACAGAGGGGUGCUGCACGGCUCAGUCGGUUAAGCGCCUGUCUGCCUUCAGCUAAGUCAGGAUCCGCUCAAGGAUCAGACUCAGCAGGGAGUCAGCUUCUCCCUCCCCUCUGCCCCACCUCCAACUUGUAUACACAGGCACACUAUCUCAAAUAAAUAAAUAAAAUCUUAAAAAAAAAAAAAAAGCAAUUACAGAGUGCUUAAUGUAGAGUGCUUAUUGACUCUAUGGUUUAACUACUCAGGUAUAAAUCCUGGCACCAGCACUUACUCUUUGUGUGAACUCAACAAGUUGAUUGUUUGCUUUCCCACAUCUUCAAAAAAGAAAAAAUAGGGAUCCCUGG